UACGUAGGGGGCAAGCGUUGUCCGGAAUUAUUGGGCGUAAAGAGCGUGUAGGCGGUCCGGUAAGUCAGCUGUGAAAGUCAAGGGCUCAACCCUUGAAUGCCGGUUGAUACUGUCGGGCUAGAGUCCGGAAGAGGCGAGUGGAAUUCCCGGUGUAGCGGUGGAAUGCGCAGAUAUCAGGAGGAACACCAAUAGCGAAGGCAGCUCGCUGGGACGGUACUGACGCUAAGGCGCGAAAGCGUGGGGAGCGAACAGG
rnacentral:rRNA from 1 species